AGGGAGAACGUCACCGUUAAGAUGAGCAAGUUCAAGGUCACGGCCGAGAAGGCGCAGGCGAUCGUGGACAAGGCGCCCGCAUUCUGUCCCGACAACGCACCGCCAGUCAGUCCCAUAGUCGAUCAGGUUCACUUCAUCACGCUGACAGAGAACGGGAAACAGUGACGC